AUUGAACGCUGGCGGCAGGCCUAACACAUGCAAGUCGAACGAGUGGCGGACGGGUGAGUAAUGUCUGGGAAUCUGCCCGAUGGAGGGGGAUAACUACUGGAAACGGUGGCUAAUACCGCAUACCAUCGGAUGUGCCCAGAUGGGAUUCGCUAGUAGGUGGGGUAACGGCUCACCUCGGCGACGAUCCCUAGCUGGUCUGAGAGGAUGAUCAGCCACACUGGAACUGAGACACGGUCCAGACUCCUACGGGAGGCAGCAGUGGGGAAUAUUGCACAAUGGGCGCAAGCCUGAUGCAGCCAUGCCGCGUGUAUGAAGAAGGCCUUAGGGUUGUAAAGUACUUUCAGCGGGGAGGCGUUACCCGCAGAAGAAGCACCGGCUAACUCCGUGCCAGCAGCCGCGGUAAUUC
rnacentral:rRNA from 1 species